rnacentral:lncRNA from 1 species
GGAUAAACUUCUUUUUCAAGAAGAUGGUAUGAUGGUUUACAAUCACAUUAUGAUCCUUAGAAAGAUAAAAAUAGUAUCCUAUAGAUUUCUUGAGAUAUCCAAUAAAAUGAGCCAUAAUUGACCUAACCUCUAACUUGUUCGUCUGCUGCCUCUUGACAUAGAUCGAACAUCUCCAAAUCUUGAGGUAAUCAAGACUUAGUUUCUUACCAUGU